UCUGGCGGCGAUAGCGAAGAGGCCACACCCGUUCCCAUCCCGAACACGGAAGUUAAGCUCUUCAGCGCCGAUGGUAGUUGGGGGUUUCCCCCUGUGAGAGUAGGACGCUGCCAGGC
rnacentral:rRNA from 1 species